AGGCAGGGAAGGCAUUCAGGACAAUGGAGCCAUUUCUUCUGGGGUCUCCUGCCAUGAGGCAAUGCCCAACUGAAAAAUAGAUUUGGAGAGCACUUUCAGAGUGAUGGACUAGUACAAACCCAGAUCUCUGGGUGUAUCCAAGUUCACAGGUAACAUCCUGACUGGGCCCACCUGUGAAUGGGUACAAGAAGGAAGAAUUAACACAUCCCCUUGGAGUCUGGCCAGAACCAGUAAAUAUUUGCAACCACUUAUUGCCUUUUUUGCUUUACCUCUUCACCAUCCCCGCUUUGUUCUAUAAAAGUAACUAGCAUCCAA